rnacentral:rRNA from 1 species
AAUUACUGGGCGUAAAGAGUUCGUAGGCGGUUUGUCGCGUCGUUUGUGAAAACCAGCAGCUCAACUGCUGGCUUGCAGGCGAUACGGGCAGACUUGAGUACUGCAGGGGAGACUGGAAUUCCUGGUGUAGCGGUGAAAUGCGCAGAUAUCAGGAGGAACACCGGUGGCGAAGGCGGGUCUCUGGGCAGUAACUGACGCUGAGRAACG